rnacentral:rRNA from 1 species
GAUGAACGCUGGCGGCGUGCCUAAUACAUGCAAGUCGAGCGAACGGACGAGAAGCUUGCUUUUCUGAUGUUAGCGGCGGACGGGGGAGUAACACGUGGAUAACCUACCUAUAAGACUGGGAUAACUUCGGGAAACCGGAGCUAACACCGGAUAAUAUUUUGAACCGCAUGGUUCAAAAGUGAAAGACGGUCUUGCUGUCACUUAUAGAUGGAUCCGCGCUGCAUUAGCUAGUUGGUAAGGUAACGGCUUACCAAGGCAACGAUGCAUAGCCGACCUGAGAGGGUGAUAGGCCACCCUGGACGUGAGAGCCAGUCAAGACUCCUCCGGGAGGCAGCAGUAGGGAAUCUGCCGCAAUGAGCGAAAUCCUGACAGAGCAACGGCGCGUGAAUGAUGAAGGUCUUCGGAUCGGAAAGCUCUGUUAUUAGUGAAGAACAUAUGUGUAAGUGACUGUGCCCAUCUUGACGGUACCUAAUCAGAAAGCAACGGCUAACUACGUG